rnacentral:misc_RNA from 1 species
CUAUCACCUCCAGAAAAGAAAAGUGCCAUGUUUCGUUGAAUAAUCAGACCAUCAUGACUAUCCCUCACCUUCCGAUGGCUAUCUCGGAUGCUUCGUGGGGAACCCUCCCAGAUGAGUUUCCUGCCAUUUGCCCCAACCUCAAGGCUAUAGCUGUAUCUACGAGCCUCCGUCUCAUCACCCAUGAAACGAAGGAAAGCCAUGUAAACGGGGGCCAUACCAAGCUGAAAGGCUUCAAAGUGAAGGCAGAAGUAUCGGCCAAAACAAUGAAAGACCGUCAGCAUCCAAGUUGCAUUCUCCNNNGGGGAUUUGACUUAACAUAACGAUGGUUGAAAGAGCAUCCUGUGUGCAUGUCCACCUUGUGAU